CCCGCUGAACUUAAGCAUAUCAAUAAGCGGAGGAAAAGAAACCAACAGGGAUUGCCCCAGUAACGGCGAGUGAAGCGGCAACAGCUCAAAUUUGAAAUCUGGCCCCUCGGGGCCCGAGUUGUAAUUUGCAGAGGAUGCUUUUGGCGAGGCGCCGCCCGAGUUCCCUGGAACGGGACGCCACAGAGGGUGAGAGCCCCGUCUGGCUGGCCGCCGAGCCUCUGUAAAGCUCCUUCGACGAGUCGAGUAGUUUGGGAAUGCUGCUCAAAAUGGGAGGUAUAUGUCUUCUAAAGCUAAAUACCGGCCAGAGACCGAUAGCGCACAAGUAGAGUGAUCGAAAGAUGAAAAGCACUUUGAAAAGAGAGUUAAAUAGCACGUGAAAUUGUUGAAAGGGAAGCGCUCGUGACCAGACUUGGGCUUGGCGAAUCAUCCAGGGUGAUCCCUGGUGCACUUCGCCUCGUCCAGGCCAGCAUCAGUUCGCCGCGGGGGAUAAAGGCUUCGGGAACGUGGCUCCUCCGGGAGUGUUAUAGCCCGUUGCGUAAUACCCCACGGCGGACUGAGGACCGCGCAUCUUGCAAGGAUGCUGGCGUAAUGGUCACCGGCGACCCGUCUUGAAACACGG
rnacentral:rRNA from 1 species